rnacentral:misc_RNA from 1 species
CAGCCGCGUAAUUCCAGCUCCAAUAGCGUAUAUUAAAGUUGUUGCAGUUAAAAAGCUCGUAGUUGAACUUCGGGGUUUACCCAUUGGUCAGGCUUAAUUGUCUGUACUGGUGAGAUAAAUCUCUACCUUCUGAGGAACUUUCAUGUCAUUAAUUUGGUGUGAUUGGAAAUCAGGACUGUUACUUUGAAAAAAUUAGAGUGUUUAAAGCAGGCUAACGUCUGAAUACAUUAGCAUGGAAUAAUGAAAUAGGACGGACUGAUUCUAUUUCGUUGGUUUCUAGGAUCACCGUAAUGAUUAAUAGGGAUAGUUGGGGGCAUUAGUAUUCAAUUGUCAGAGGUGAAAUUCUUGGAUUUAUUGAAGACUAACUACUGCGAAAGCAUUUGCCAAGGAUGUUUUCAUUAAUCAAGAACGAAAGUUAGGGGAUCGAAGACGAUCAGAUACCGUCGUAGUCUUAACCAUAAACUAUGCCGACUAGGGAUCGGACGAAGUUAAUUUUAUAAUGACGCGUUCGGCACCUUACG